rnacentral:tRNA from 1 species
GCGGAAGUGGCGAAAUUGGUAGACGCACCAGAUUUAGGUUCUGGCGCCGCGAGGCGUAAGAGUUCAAGUCUCUUCUUCUUCCGCACCA